rnacentral:lncRNA from 1 species
GCCAAGGUGGGUGGAUCCCCUGAGGUUCAGGGCUCAAGACCAGCCUGGCCAACAUGGUGAAAACCCAUCUCUACUAAAAAUACAAAAAAUCAGCUGGGCAUGGUAGCAGUUGCCUGUAAUUCCAGCUACUCAGGAGACUGAAGCAGGAGAAUCACUUGAACCCAGGAGGUGGAGGUUUCAGUGAGCUGAGAUCGCACCACUGCACUUCAGCCUGGGCAACAGGGCAAGACUGUCUCAAAAAAAAGAGUCACCAGAGAGCUUGCUCCUCCCUGCCUUUGGGAACUGCCCCCACAGUCAUUGACGCAGUCACUCAGGAGAUCACCUUCCCAAUUGCAUUUUAGAAGGAAGUGGCAGAUUCAUGAUGCAGAAGGGAGGAGAGAAGGCAGGAGGUGAAGGAGAUGGCACAGGCAGAGGUACAGAGUGGUGACUGAAACCACACGCCAUGUUGGGAGACUUCCAAACAAGUCUAGAGAGUUGGCACUUAGGGAUGAAGAAAUCAUCUUCUGGUCAGUGGCCCGGACAAUGCUUUUGAUGAACAGAUGAUGAGUGACAAUGCAAGAUGAACUGUGACAAGGAUCCCGUGGGUUGUCAAAUGAGUUAAGAGGAAGGAAAAAUUCCUUUGGGUUGCCGAGGCCAAGACAAGCUUCAUUUCAAGCUUAGUCUUGAAGAUGAGUGGGAUUAAGAUAAAAAAUAAAGAAUGGAAAUGAGCAUGAACAAAAACGUGAUGGUGAAAGCAUAUUUGCUAUUUUCAAAAGCCAGGAGCAGUGCUAUCAGUGACAGGCAAACAGGCCUGGAAAAGAAGGUACCAAGACAAGGAUAUCUUCAAAAUACAGGCUUGAGCACUUAAUCUAAAGCCAGAAAAAAACAUUGGCUUCAACUGUCCAUCAAACUCUAUUAAAUAUAAGAAAGUUUCCUAAAUAUAUCAUUUUUCCCUGUUAGAAUUCAUUGUCUCUACUGAUUUCAAAAUCAGCAAAUAUUUAUUGUAAAAAAGAAAGAAAAAAUACUUGUUAAAAUCUAUUUCUAUAAAAACUACUGCUACUGGUUUCUCCCUAAAUGCUCGGCAGUGAGCAAAGAAAGAUACUGUUAACAUUUAGUAGCUGCUGCGGUCACCUUGGCAUAAUCGAGUGAACACAGACUUUAAUGGCAGUUUAAUUAGAUUUACCACGGGGAAGAUGUCACACAGGAGAUGCGAUGCUUCUGUAUUUAGAAACCUAUAUGAUGACAUGAAUAAAUAAAAAAUGAACAGAAA